rnacentral:rRNA from 1 species
CCUUUAUACACACCGCCCGUCGCUACUACCGAUUGAAUGGCUCAGUAAGGCCUUCGGACUAGCUCAGGGAGGUUGGCAACGACCACCCCGAGCCAGAAAGUUCGUCAAACUCGGUCAUUUAGAGG